rnacentral:sRNA from 1 species
GGUUUCUAUCCUUUAACCCUUAAUGACGCGUUUUGACGACCCUGGCCAUAUCCUUAAUGACGACUUUUGACGCACCCUAUAUACAGCUCUUAAUUAGACCCCUCAACACCUGUUGUUUAUUAUAAACAAUACUGGUAUACACCUGGCCAUGUAUACGGAUGGUUGUUCACUCAUUCUAAAUAAAGAUAUCACGUGAUUUACCUGUGUAUGGUGGCGUGAUGCAUUACUACAAUAAACAAAGAUGGCGGACUACGAUGCGGACAUCGCACAUGUUUUCACUUUUUGUUUAUAAUCAAGUUUAGGGGCAGAAUUUUCUAGAUUUAUUGGUAGUGAGAUUGAAUGAUGAAAGCCAGAUGUCAAAUUCAUGCAAAAUUUUGUGGAAAAAUCUGUGUAGUUACAGAAAACGGAACACAAGGUGUGCAUUACCUGCAACCCCUAAAUACACGAAUAUACCGGUAAAUUUGUAUUUUUUCAAAAAGUCAACACACUUAUUUUGUUAACAUGCUAGAUUUAUCAAAUUCUCUUACACCAUUUAUUGAAAAAAAAUUCGUAAAUAUAAGUCUGAAAACGAUAGACUUAAAUUGAAAAGUCAGCCACAGGUACAUUUAAUUAUUCACUAUCAAAAAACGAAUUCCAUGAUGAUAAUGGAAUCUUUCUAUAAAAAUUAUUAAAUAAUUAUUUGUAAUACAUACAGUUUUAAAUAUCUUUAUCAAGUAUCUGUUGUGAAAUUAUUCUUAAUAAAGCUUUAAUAUAGAAC